AAUGAUACGUGCAUGUAUAUAUAUAUAAAGAAAAUUUAUAAUACACAUGAUGCGUACAUAAAAAUAUUACGGUUAUGGUGUAUAUUAUAAUAGAGAAGAGGAAAUACCCCAAGGCAGUAAAUUCCGAGCUGCACAACCACUAUCUUGAACAUAAAGAUCACCAGAGAGGCCAAGACCGAAUGCAUAAAUAGAAACAUCUAAAGACAGCAAAUUUCGAGCAGCCUUAGAUAUAAGCCUAAUGGUCAUCACAACCACUAUAUUGGAGACAAAGAUUACCAAAAAGACUAAGACCAAAUGCAUAAAAAAAAAUCAUCUUAGGUGCGGAGCAUGAAUUUAUGCUCAGUGAGGUUAAAAUUGUUGUUGCUUGAGAGAAAAAUCUUAAGAUUGAAGGGACAUGGGUAACAUAUAUAAAACAUAGGAUAAAUUACUAAUUUUUAAUGAGAUCAAAAUUGUAUUUAUGAUAAAUCAUAUUAUGAAUAGUAGUAUAAUUUUUUUUUCAAGUGGAGUCAAUUAACCCCAUUUAUCCAAUAGUGCCUCCACCGGUUGAACAACUUGAUCGGAAUAGACCAACCUAGUACCUAGAGAAAUCCACAUAUUGCUAAAAGAAGUACAUCUCAAAAGAUGAUGCGCGUAUAAAGAAAUCCAUGCACAACCCGCAAUAUAAAGAAACAAAAUUUUCCGAAAUUUCAUUUGACUAACGGUUUUCAAAACUUUUUUAUGUAAUAUUUGUGAAAUAGCAUACAUAUUUUUAGAAAAUAUUUAAUUGAUCCUUACCCAAAUCAUGAAAAAAUAUUUUCACUAAAAAAAAUAAUAUAUGAAACCAGUAAAUGUUUUUGUUAUACCAAUAGUUUCUGAAAAAAUUGCACUUCGAAACUGAUUCUAUAAAUGGAGCCAAACAGGCCCUAGUGUUUUCUUAUUUCUUCUAUAGAGUACAAUUAAUAUAACAUUAAUUACUUUCUCUCUCCAUAAAAAAAAGUAAUAAUAAUAAAAAAACAUCCUCAAAAGGUAUGGGUUUGGGCUAAAAUGGUUCCCAUAAGCUUGGAAUUCCUUUGGAAAAAUGAAGCCCAUCCUUGCAGCGCAAACUUUGGACCAAUAUAAUAACACAGAUAUUUACAUGCAAUCCAACAGAAAAUGACACCUUGAAUGAAGCUAGAAUUAUUUUUCAUUACCAAAUUUAUAAUUAGCAUUGAAAUUGAAGAUAUCCUUGAUAGAAAACUGGCAUUUUAUGCACAUGCUUCCGAGCUACAGACCCAUGAUUGAACACACGGUUUGCGUGACCGUGAGAAGCAGCAGUACGAACGCAGCAAUAACAGAAAUGCCCGCCCACGGGUUGCUGAAAUAAUUGCGUUUCAAGAUUAUCUUCCACCGGUACCGUUUCGCUCUCCACUGGUGCCAGAAGUCUUUGUGGUAGUCAUUCAAAUUACUACAAAUAUCUGCAUAAUAGAAGGUACUAUUAUCUGUGAUAGUCUCCUUGUAGAGAUUGUUGAACAGAUUAGAGACUGGCUCACUAUCACGAUCAUUAUCACUGAGCAAAUUUUCAAUAAUCCCGCAUUUCACAAGCAAAUCCACAUCUUUGGGAGUGUCUAUAAGGCUAUCCAGGAAGAUGAUGUAGCUACUUAUAUAUUCAGGUUGACGGUCACACUGUUCAAAAGCAAUGAGGUUCCUGAACAAUGUUUCUGUCCAUUCGUUAACCUUUAGCUUUGGGAUGGUUAGCUCACCAUUUUCAGUAAAUUCUAUAUUCAAUAUACAGCUACCUGGACUGCUGAUGAACUUGAUCCCUGCCUCGUGUAGCUCAGUUGCACUCCGCGUAUACUUGAAUUUCUUUGUCGACUUCUGUGUCGAAACCCAUGAGUUGAUAUGUAUGCAAGUACUCGACCAAAUGCCUCCUUGAUCGACUUCUUUAUCUUCUUCUUUCUCGACUUUUUUAUAGAAACCCAUGAGUUGAAAUGUACGCAAGUACUCAACCAAAUGCCUCAAGCUUGGCUCUUUAAUUUUGUCGGUUGGAACACUAUGCCUCCUUGUGCGCGGCUCUUUAAUUUCUUUGCUUGGAACUUUAUCUGUAUUUACCACAAGAUUGAAGUAAUGAUGAGUAAGCUCAGAUAAGGUUAUCUGGGCCGGCAACUCUUCACGGAUCAUGUGGAGUAGUUUUUCAAGAACAAAACAAGGUAGUUGAUUCUCAAGUAACAUCAUGUCACGCAACAAUUCUCUCUUCAUCCGUUCAUUGGCGAAUAUUACGUCGUUGUAAGCAAAUUUUUCAGGGAACUUCUCCUUCAAGAAGAGCAUAAUUAUAAACGUCCCAUCUAGAACAAACAUUUCUACAAAUUCUUUGCUGCUAUACUUGAUGUUAUCUUGGUAAUGCUCGCGGACUUCGUUUUCCCAUCCUUUUGCCUCAUCAAUGAGAUUCUCUAUCCCCAUGCCGGAUAAAUAUAAGAACUUCUGACAAUAUUCCAAUUUAUAACGUUUCAUCGAUUUCAAAUGGGGUUUGCCAUGAUGUAAAGGGCCGAUUGACAUUAACCAGGGAGUGUAAGCUUCCUCGUUUAGUUUGCGAAGUCUCCUGGGAACGUUGUAGAUACUCCAACCUCUGUAUGACCCGGAAGAAGGUAAUUCUGUUAACUCAAUAUACAGAGAGGAAGGUUCUUCGUACUGAUUAGGUUUGUCCAUCACCGCUGCCUCUGAUGUGUUCUUCAUGACUGCCUCACUGGAAAAAUCCAAGUAACAAUUAAAAGCUUUCAUGCAUUCACUUAACUAACAUGUAAUGAUAAGCAAAUAUGCAACUUCAAUUUGGCAGGGACUAAUUAUUUAAAGUUGAAAAGGAAUCAAUGAUGAUCUUGUGUUUUUCUAUUAGUUGAGAAAGGAAAAGUCUACGGUUAAACACUAAAAUUAUAUUUCGUGUAAUUAGUCACAAUAAUUCAUAACAUUUUUAUACGUAUUAUACGGAGGCAUAUUUUAUCUUAAGGAUAUCGUGUGGAACACGAGCCUCAACACAACCUCCUUUUGCAGAUUUUGAUCUGUUUGCAUUUUUGUAUAUUUUAUAGUGUUAGCUUAUUGUUUCAAAUUGCAUUUUUUUGGUUUGUUCUGUAAUUUGUUUAUAAUAAUAUUAUUUUGUUUAACUCAAUAUUAUACUUUGAACGGCACUAUACACAUCCAUUCAUAAUUAGUCAGAAUAAUAUGUAAUUAACACUAAUAAGCAUUGUAAUAAAAAAGCCUCAAAAAUACAUAGCAACUCAAACCACAAAAUGCCUUACAAAUUAUUUUCAUGGUGCACACUAAUUUUUAACUACACCACAAAUAUCAGAACCAAUACUACAAAAAUACACUACACUGUUCCCCAUAGCUUUCUCAUGGCCAAAAGGCGGAGCAAGACCACAGAAGGAUCGUUUGGCUGUCGGAUAGUAUCAGGAGGAUAAAUUUUAGAGGGAGAUAAUUUUUGGAGGGGAUAACUUUUAACUUUGUUUGGAUACUUUUUGGAAUGGGUGGAUAAGGGUUGGGGAUAAAGAAGAAAAUAUAUAUAGAGAAACAAAAUGUAAAAUAUCUAGAUAUUAAAAACAUAUAUUUUGUUUCUCUCUAUAUAUAAAAAUAAAAUUAUACAUUUUGUUUCUCUCUCUAUAUUUUUUUCCUUAUCCCCCACCCCCUUAUCCACCCAGAUAACUUUUAGUUAGGGUGAGGGUCACCCAAAAAUUAUUCGUCUCUAUGCUCCUGCUGGGAGAUAAAUUAUCCGGGGAAAAAAGUUAUCCGCCUGGCAUAAACCAUCCAAACGCCGGAUAGAAAAAAUUAGCCGGGAGAAAAAGUUAUCCCCCUCGCUAUCCGCUAGCCAAACAAGCCAUUAGGUUAAUUUAGGUUGGUUGGAAUGACGGUUAGAAUGAAAUGAUGAUUCCGCAAAAAUACCGGAAUAACCAUUUAGAAAAUCUCAUUCCUCCAUUUUAAAGAAAGACGAUCUCCUAAUUUUUGAAAGUAAUAGUCAUUCCAAUUUUAUCUUUUUAUCACUAUCACAACCAUAAUACCAACCCACCGCCACCGCCACUGUUUUUCAAAAAAUAAAAUAUUUUUUCUUUUACAAAAAAAAAGUUUUUCAAAAAAGUAUUUGCUUCUAACAGAAAUUAUUUUCAAAAACAGAAAACAAAAAACAGAAAUUGUCAAAAAUAAAAAACUGUUUUCAGAAACUAUUUUUGAAAAAAAAACUGUUUUCACAAACUGAAAAAAAACUACGUCAUAAACAGAAAAAACAAAAUGGAAACAGGAAAAAAACUGUUUUAACAAAAAUCUACUUCCUGAAAUUAUUUUGGAAAACAAUUUCUGUGUUUUAACUUUUUCUGUUUUCAGCUUUUCCUAUUUUUGUAAAAGAAUUUCUAUUAGAAGCAAAACUCUUUUAUAGCAUCUAUUUUCAGCUUUUUUUUCCGCUUUUUGUUUUCAAAAACUGUUUCGGUUUACAUCCUUUUUUGAGAAAACUAUUUUUUAUUCUGUGAAACAGAAAUCAUUUUCUCCAAAUGUUUUUUAAAAAAUAUUUUUUACAAGAACAGUUUUUUUUAAAACAAAAUGAGCUUUUCCGAUAAUUAAGCAAAAGAGUUUUUUUUAAAUGUGUAAAAUAAAAACUGAAAAGAAAAUUAAGUAAAGCAGAUUCAUAAAACAAUUUUUUUUUCAUUAAUAUUCUGAAAGAGAAACAGAAAAUUAAUAAUUAUUUUUUUUACUAUUCACAGCCUAUUUCAUUCCAAGGACAUUCUUAUGUAUCACCAAAUAUUAGAAUGCAAUUGAUUUUUGCCAUCUCAUUCUAUUCCAAACUCCGACUUGUCGUCAUUUCAUUUCAUCCAACCAAACGAAGCCUUUAUAACUUUUGCUUUCCUCCAUCUGAAGUCUGAUUGGAGUGAGAGCAAAGCUUUGAUCAUGCCUACUUUUGAGUUUUACUUUUACAAGUUGACAUGUCCAUGUUCUUAUUUAAUUAUUUACGAGUCUAUUUAAUGAGUGAAAGGUUUUCAUUACAUGGGGGGUUUUGUAUGGAGAAGUUU
rnacentral:lncRNA from 1 species